rnacentral:rRNA from 1 species
GAUGAACGCUAGCUACAGUGCUUAACACAUGCAAGUCGAGGGGCAGCAUUUCAGUUUGCUUGCAAACUGGAGAUGGCGACCGGCGCACGGGUGAGUAACACGUAUCCAACCUGCCGAUAACUCGGGGAUAGCCUUUCGAAAGAAAGAUUAAUACCCGAUGGUAUCUUAAGCACGCAUGAGAUUAAGAUUAAAGAUUUAUCGGUAAGCGAUGGGGAUGCGUUCCAUUAGGCAGUUGGCGGGGUAACGGCCCACCAAACCUACGAUGGAUAGGGGUUCUGAGAGGAAGGUCCCCCACAUUGGAACUGAGACACGGUCCAAACUCCUACGGGAGGCAGCAGUGAGGAAUAUUGGUCAAUGGGCGAGAGCCUGAACCAGCCAAGUAGCGUGAAGGAUGACGGCCCUACGGGUUGUAAACUUCUUUUGUGCGGGAAUAAAGGAGCCUACGUGUAGGCUUUUGCAUGUACCGUAACGAAUAAGCAUCGGCUAACUCCGUGCCAGCAGCCGCGGUAAUACGGAGGAUGCGAGCGUUGUCCGGAUUUAUUGGGUUUAAAGGGAGCGUAGACGGGUUUUUAAGUCAGCUGUGAAAGUUUGGGGCUCAACCUUAAAAUUGCAGUUGAAACUGGAGACCUUGAGUACGGUUGAGGCAGGCGGAAUUCGUGGUGUAGCGGUGAAAUGCUUAGAUAUCACGAAGAACCCCGAUUGCGAAGGCAGCCUGCUAAGCCGCCACUGACGUUGAGGCUCGAAAGUGUGGGUAUCANACAGG